UACGGGGGGGGCAAGCGUUGUUCGAAAUUACUGGGCGUAAAGGGCUCGUAGGCGGCCAACUAAGUCAGACGUGAAAUCCCUCGGCUUAACCGGGGAACUGCGUCUGAUACUGGAUGGCUUGAAUCCGGGAGAGGGAUGCGGAAUUCCAGGUGUAGCGGUGAAAUGCGUAGAUAUCUGGAGGAACACCGGUGGCGAAGGCGGCAUCCUGGACCGGCAUUGACGCUGAGGAGCGAAAGCCAGGGGAGCAAACGGG
rnacentral:rRNA from 1 species